GCGCGAGUGUCAGGGGAGGACGGACGCGAUCGUGUGUUGCUCGGCUUGUACACGCGCGCCCCAGCGGUGGAAAUCAACACGAGAUUUUUGCGUCCAUGACAAUGUAGACGUUGAAAAUAAUCCUUGGCGAUCUGAUGUGCUUAGGGAACUCAGACGCUGAUGGCGGUUGUGUAGAGAAGAAAACGAGACUUUCUUUUAGGAGAGACUAUUGAAGAUGAUGUGUUGAGGCGAAGAGAAGGCAGACGA